rnacentral:rRNA from 1 species
UGGGGAAUAUUGCGCAAUGGGCGGAAGCCUGACGCAGCGACGCCGCGUGGGGGAUGACGGCCUUCGGGUUGUAAACCUCUUUCGACCGGGACGAAGCGAGAGUGACGGUACCGGUAUAAGAAGCACCGGCCAACUACGUGCCAGCAGCCGCGGUAAUACGUAGGGUGCGAGCGUUGUCCGGAAUUAUUGGGCGUAAAGAGCUCGUAGACGGUGUGUCACGUCGAUCGUGAAAACUUACAGCUUAACUGUGAGCGUGCGGUCGAUACGGGCAUCACUGGAGUUCGGCAGGGGAGACUGGAAUUCCUGGUGUAGCGGUGAAAUGCGCAGAUAUCAGGAGGAACACCGGUGGCGAAGGCGGGUCUCUGGGCCGAUACUGACGCUGAGGAGCGAAAGCGUGGGGAGCGAACAGG